rnacentral:tRNA from 2 species
AUUCUUAUUAGUUUAAUGGUAGAACAAGAUACUUCUAAUAUCUGAAUCUAAGUUCGAAUCUUAGAUAAGAAUA